rnacentral:rRNA from 1 species
ACGAACGCUGGCGGCACGCUUAACACAUGCAAGUCGAACGAGAGAAGAGAAGCUUGCUUUUCUGAUCUAGUGGCGGACGGGUGAGUAACACGUGAGCAAUCUGCCUUUCAGAGGGGGAUACCGAUUGGAAACGAUCGUUAAUACCGCAUAAUAUAAUUGAACCGCAUGAUUUGAUUAUCAAAGAUUUAUCGCUGAAAGAUGAGCUCGCGUCUGAUUAGCUAGUUGGUAAGGUAACGGCUUACCAAGGCGACGAUCAGUAGCCGGACUGAGAGGUUGAUCGGCCACAUUGGGACUGAGACACGGCCCAGACUCCUACGGGAGGCAGCAGUGGGGAAUAUUGCACAAUGGAGGAAACUCUGAUGCAGCGAUGCCGCGUGAGGGAAGAAGGUUUUAGGAUUGUAAACCUCUGUCUUCAGGGACGAAAAAUGACGGUACCUGAGGAGGAAGCUCCGGCUAACUACGUGCCAGCAGCCGCGGUAAUACGUAGGGAGCGAGCGUUGUCCGGAAUUACUGGGUGUAAAGGGAGCGUAGGCGGGAUCGCAAGUCAGAUGUGAAAACUAUGGGCUUAACCCAUAAACUGCAUUUGAAACUGUGGUUCUUGAGUGAAGUAGAGGUAAGCGGAAUUCCUAGUGUAGCGGUGAAAUGCGUAGAUAUUAGGAGGAACAUCAGUGGCGAAGGCGGCUUACUGGGCUUUAACUGACGCUGAGGCUCGAAAGCGUGGGGAGCAAACAGGAUUAGAUACCCUGGUAGUCCACGCCGUAAACGAUGAUUACUAGGUGUUGGAGGAUUGACCCCUUCAGUGCCGCAGUUAACACAAUAAGUAAUCCGCCUGGGGAGUACGACCGCAAGGUUGAAACUCAAAGGAAUUGACGGGGGCCCGCACAAGCAGUGGAGUAUGUGGAUUAAUUCGAAGCAACGCGAAGAACCUUACCAGGUCUUGACAUCGUAUGCAUAGCUCAGAGAUGAGUGAAAUCUCUUCGGAGACAUAUAGACAGGUGGUGCAUGGUUGUCGUCAGCUCGUGUCGUGAGAUGUUGGGUUAAGUCCCGCAACGAGCGCAACCCUUACUGUUAGUUGCUACGCAAGAGCACUCUAGCAGGACUGCCGUUGACAAAACGGAGGAAGGUGGGGAUGACGUCAAAUCAUCAUGCCCCUUAUGACCUGGGCCUCACACGUACUACAAUGGCUGUCAACAGAGGGAAGCAAAGCCGCGAGGUGGAGCAAACCCCUAAAAGCAGUCUUAGUUCGGAUUGUAGGCUGCAACCCGCCUACAUGAAGUCGGAAUUGCUAGUAAUCGCAGAUCAGCAUGCUGCGGUGAAUACGUUCCCGGGCCUUGUACACACCGCCCGUCACGCCAUGGGAGUCGGUAACACCCGAAGCCUGUAGUCUAACCGCAAGGAGGACGCAGUCGAAGGUGGGAUUGAUGACUGGGGUG